GCGGAGGAAAAGAAACCAACUGGGAUUACCUUAGUAACGGCGAGUGAAGCGGUAAAAGCUCAAAUUUGAAAUCUGGUACUUUCAGUGCCCGAGUUGUAAUUUGUAGAAUUUGUCUUUGAUUAGGUCCUUGUCUAUGUUCCUUGGAACAGGACGUCAUAGAGGGUGAGAAUCCCGUUUGGCGAGGAUACCUUUUCUCUGUAAGACUUUUUCGAAGAGUCGAGUUGUUUGGGAAUGCAGCUCAAAGUGGGUGGUAAAUUCCAUCUAAAGCUAAAUAUUGGCGAGAGACCGAUAGCGAACAAGUACAGUGAUGGAAAGAUGAAAAGAACUUUGAAAAGAGAGUGAAAAAGUACGUGAAAUUGUUGAAAGGGAAGGGCAUUUGAUCAGACAUGGUGUUUUUUGCAUGCACUCGCCUCUCGUGGGCUUGGGCCUCUCAAAAAUUUCACUGGGCCAACAUCAAUUCUGGCAGCAGGAUAAAUCAUUAAGAAUGUAGCUACUUCGGUAGUGUUAUAGCUUUUUGGAAUACUGUUAGCCGGGAUUGAGGACUGCGCUUCGGCAAGGAUGUUGGCAUAAUGGUUAAAUGCCGCCCGUCUUA
rnacentral:rRNA from 1 species